ACGGUUUCCAGCUUGGACCUAACCAAGAAUGUCCGAAGUGCAUUGAAUCUGGCGGUGCUUGUGGGUAUAAUCAGAGCUCAAGUAGUUUCACCUGCUAUUAUAUGGAAGAGCCACAUAAAGGUAAGAUUUCCGACAUGUUAUAAUUGAAUAGCCUAAAUGCUCUUCCACAAGAAUCAUCAUUUUUCCCUUGCCUACGAUCUCCCCACCCACCUCCCUUUUGAUUGGUUCAUCUACAUCAAAUCCUUUUAGUUUCUUAUAACUCUAAUACAUAAACUCCCUUGAGCUGCAAGUUUUUCAUUCACGUAAGAUUCAAAGUUCUGCAUUUGCUUCAAACUAACCUCGUUUCUGGUGUCAUUUCAGGCCUCUCGACUGGAGCAAUAGCAGGUACUUCACCUUUUCCCUUGGCGACACCUAAUUUGAUGACAAUAUAUACAGCAUAGACU
rnacentral:lncRNA from 1 species